rnacentral:misc_RNA from 1 species
GAUGAAGAACGCAGCGAAAUGCGAUAAGUAGUGUGAAUUGCAGAAUUCAGUGAAUCAUCGAAUCUUUGAACGCACAUUGCGCCCUUUGGUAUUCCUUAGGGCAUGCCUGUUCGAGCGUCAUUUAAACCUUCAAGCUCAGCUUGGUGUUGGGUGACUGUCCGCUUCACCGCGGACUCGCCUCAAAAUUAUUGGCGGCCGGUACAUUGGCUCUCGAGCGCAGCAGAAACGCGUAACUCGAGGUCCUCGUGCUGGCUCCCAGAAGCUAUCUUCACAAUUUUGACCUCGGAUCAGGUAGGGAUACCCGCUGAACUUAAGCAUAUCAAUAGCGGAGGA